AUCAGGACUGUGGGUUUCGUUACCAUAAAAGAGGAGGGCCUUUUUAUAACAUACCACAAAAUAUGUAGCGAAAUUUCCAUUCAUUGUCAUGUAGGUCUUUUGCAAUGAGCUCCAGGCAUGGAGGCUGCAGAGAGAAAUCCUGUAGAAAAUUGAACGUGUCAUAUAUCUAAUUAACCCAAUUUAAAAUGCACAAAAUAUGACCAUUUCUUAUAAAUGGAUUGACAAAAACAAACUAAAUUUUACUGUACGUUACCAAUGGACGGAAGACUUCCUCAGCAGAACGUCGAGGAAGAGAAAAUCCACCAUGUGUACUUGUAUCACUUGCACUCAAAGUCUUGCAGAAGUAAUUAGUCGGCUGCUUGCUAGCAGCACCCAGCUCGAUUGGAAGAAAAGGCUCCUUUUGCUCUUUGUGUCAUUGGAACCUCACGAUGAAUACAUAAUAAUUAUUUCAAUAUUGUAACCUACAUAACCUGUUAUCAGAAUCCAGGCUACAAGAAGAGAGAAAUGUGAUUAAUACCGGGCUCAACAGCUGUAGUGUCAUUUGGGCAUAAACUUCAUCAGUCUCUACAUCGGCCUGCAUUAGCAUCAAGAAAUGAUCUCACGGCACCUCUUAGAAGACUACAUGAUGGUCCCUUCUAUGUGUGAAGUGUAAACUUGCAUGCAUCGUUACAUUAUGAAGCUGGCAGAUCAACUGAGGGGGGAGAUUUGGAUAAUUAGGGAUUUGAGCAUCAACCUCCUUAUUAGUUGAUGCAGCAACCUACGCAAAUGUAAAAUCACUUUAGAGAACUGCACUAAAAAUGGCUUUAGAAAACUGUAAUUGGACAACAUCCAUGCAACAAAAUUGAUUCUGCAUAUAAUGACACCCUUAAUAUUUCACUAAAGCUAUGUCUCAGUAGAAUCGCAAACCAUAUGAUGUUUACAUGCUGCAUUGGGAAAAGAAUAAGAACCUCCUGAGCACUAAGGGAACAAACUAUACUUUAGCUUUAUCUUUAUAUUUUUUAAAAACAUAAUCUAUAUUGAUGGUACAAACUGAUAAAACCUACGGACCUGCUCACUAUGACCCUGUGGAAAAUAGAUGACUCGGCUUCCAACCGCGGGCAGAGACACGAGGGGCCCAGCGCAUGCAUGCCAUAGCUCCGAGUUCAGACACCUUUGCUCCCCUGAAAGGUUCCAAGCACAAAUGAGCNUAUCGGCGAGGUGGGUGAGGUUGGCAAGACCGUCGGGCUCGUCGCCGCUCGCCGCUGCUGCCUUGCGAGUCCUCUAUGUUUCUGCUCUCUACGAAGACUCUCCUGGUUGUUGUGGUGGCUCCUGGACCCCUCCCAUCCGCGUGUCCACAGCCAGAGCUCGUCCGCUAGCGACUCCGCCGCCAACCCUAGGCAACACCCCUGCUGGUUGCGCCCUCGGCCGUGUCACCAAUCGGCAGAUGAAGGCCGCGGAGGUGCGGGCGCCUGGGACAAGGGGAGGAGCAUCGACGGGGUAGGCGGGGUGCGACGGCGUGGCAGGGGACGCGGCACGCGGCGGCGUGGCAAGGGUGGCGAUGCGCUGGAGAUGGAAGAUGGGACUGGGUGCCGGUCCUGGGUCGUGUCGUUGGGGGUUCUUUUUUGUGCUCGUAUCGGUUGUUGACUGAAUCAGGACUGUGGGUUUCGUUACCAUAAAAGAGGAGGGCCUUUUUAUAACAUACCACAAAAUAUGUAGCGAAAUUUCCAUUCAUUGUCAUGUAGGUCUUUUGCAAUGAGCUCCAGGCAUGGAGGCUGCAGAGAGAAAUCCUGUAGAAAAUUGAACGUGUCAUAUAUCUAAUUAACCCAAUUUAAAAUGCACAAAAUAUGACCAUUUCUUAUAAAUGGAUUGACAAAAACAAACUAAAUUUUACUGUACGUUACCAAU
rnacentral:lncRNA from 1 species